rnacentral:lncRNA from 1 species
CCCUUGCACGAAUUCUACUACAAUGGUUGCAUCACUAACUUGUUUAUAACAAAAUUUGCUAUUUUAGAAAGUAGACUUACAAGCGCUUGUCCUCCAACAAAAUUCAAUGCAAAACAACAAUUAAGCUAAGAGAAAUCUUGCCUCAAAGUUGCCUGACUUUCUCGGCCUAGUCAGAGCACCUCUGGCCACACAAACCCUUGCCCUUGCUCCAUUCCAGUUGUGCAAUGCAUAUGCUUUAGCAUUCCAAAAACUAGAAUUGAAUCCGCAUCACCUUCAACAAUUUUUUCUUGAAAAUCUUGAGUGAAUUCCAAGAUAUGAUCUUCCAAAGUAGCUUGAGUUGGCGGAGUGCUACAGCUUCACCACGGCCGACUCCUCUUCACUCCAACCACCAUAACUUCCUUGGCCUUUACUCAAUCUAAGCGUGCAAAUAGUCCUUGCAAAGCUGACAACAAGAUCUAACUAUUGGUAAAGUUUGACGUUCUAUUUCCAGAUAACUAAUAUACUACAGCUGCGCAAUUGCAGCUCUAUAGAAACAAGGGUACGUGG